CCUACGGGAGGCAGCAGUGGGGAAUAUUGGACAAUGGGGGGAACCCUGAUCCAGCCAUGCCGCGUGUGUGAAGAAGGCCCUCGGGUUGUAAAGCACUUUCAGUGAGGAAGAACGCCUGGUGGUUAAUACCCAUCAGGAAAGACAUCACUCACAGAAGAAGCACCGGCUAACUCCGUGCCAGCAGCCGCGGUAAUACGGAGGGUGCGAGCGUUAAUCGGAAUUACUGGGCGUAAAGCGCGCGUAGGUGGCUUGAUAAGCCGGUUGUGAAAGCCCCGGGCUCAACCUGGGAACGGCAUCCGGAACUGUCAAGCUAGAGUGCAGGAGAGGAAGGUAGAAUUCCCGGUGUAGCGGUGAAAUGCGUAGAGAUCGGGAGGAAUACCAGUGGCGAAGGCGGCCUUCUGGACUGACACUGACACUGAGGUGAGAAAGCGUGGGUAGCAAACAGGAUUAGAUACCCGAGUAGUC
rnacentral:rRNA from 1 species